UACGUAGGCAGCGAGCGUUGUUCGGAGUUACUGGGCGUAAAGAGUGCGUAGGCGGUGCUCCAAGUCUGGUGUGAAAUCUCCCGGCUUAACCGGGAGGGUGCGCCGGAAACUGGGGUGCUGGAGUGUGGGAGAGGUUGGUGGAAUUCCCAGUGUAGAGGUGAAAUUCGUAGAUAUUGGGAAGAACACCGGUGGCGAAGGCGGCCAACUGGACCACAACUGACGCUGAGGCGCGAAAGCGUGGGGAGCAAACAGG
rnacentral:rRNA from 1 species